rnacentral:piRNA from 1 species
UGGUGGACACUGCGCAAUUUUGCACU